AUUUUCACCAGGCAGAUACUCCUCAUCUUCAACCGCUGCUCAGGGCCUUCACUUACAACUCCUAACUCGCAUUGCAGAAACUCAGCAAACAACAGAUAAUUCCGGGACAAUCCCCCUGGAGCAAUCUGGAGUUAAGUGCCUUGCUCAAGGACACAAUGGUGGUGGCUGUGGGGCUCAAACCAACGUCCUUCUGAUUACCAGAUUACCAGCAGUGGCAAAGAAUUCCUGCAGAUUUUUCACUGGAGAGACAUCACUCGCAUUGCAGAAACUCAUCAGGCAACAGGGUAGUCUGGCCGCAGUCUUGGAACUGGUUCUUCCUCACCCUAACACUGAGCAAGGAAAUCUUCCCAGAAGGCUGUGUACAGCUCCCGUGACACUCCAUCAUCAUCA